rnacentral:miRNA from 1 species
UCACUGUUUGGAAAGGUAGGAC